UACGUAGGGGGCAAGCGUUAUCCGGAUUUACUGGGUGUAAAGGGAGCGUAGACGGCGAUGCAAGUCUGAAGUGAAAGGCGGGGGCCCAACCCCCGGACUGCUUUGGAAACUGUAUGGCUGGAGUGCAGGAGAGGUAAGUGGAAUUCCUAGUGUAGCGGUGAAAUGCGUAGAUAUUAGGAGGAACACCAGUGGCGAAGGCGGCCUGCUGGACUGUAACUGACGUUGAGGCUCGAAA
rnacentral:rRNA from 1 species